rnacentral:lncRNA from 10 species
AAUGACUCAGCAUAGAGAAGCGGGACAGACAUAUAAACAAAGAGCUAGUCUCAGCUCAAAUACAGUAUCUUUAAGGAUGCCGGAGAUACAGGAGUGCUGGGAAGGCAAGACCAUGGUCCCUUUAAAUGAUACGGGAGUGCUGGGUAGAGGAAGGGUGUGGUCCCUGGCUAGGGCUCCACCCCCACCGACCUAGAUGAGGACCUGGCACUCCUGCCUGCACGCCCAAAUGUUGUAUUUCCCAAGACCAUCCUGGCCCACCACGGCCCCAUCCUGUGACUAUAAAAACCUGAGACUCUAGCAAGGCAAAGACCGAAACGACUGGACGUGUAGAGGAGCGGAUCAGCAGAAGAAGAUAGAGGCAGGGGGAUGUCAAAUGCAGCAUAUCAGCGUAGGAACACACAGGCCGUUGAAGCGAGAGAGGAGCACAUCAAUGAAAGAAGGCACAAGCAUCUGGAUGGCGAGAGGAUGUUGAGGGGAGCAUGGCAGCUGAAGAGCACACCGACAGGACACACGCCGGCACUGUCCCGGUGGGAGUGGGAUGAGGCGGAGUUUGGUGGGGGCAGUGGGAGGAGAGCCCUGGCCGUGGAGUGCCCCAACUCCAGGGGAAAACCAUCUCCCUUCUGGCUCCCCCAUCUGCUGAGAGCUACUUCCACUCAAUAAAAGCUUGCACUCAUUCUCCAAGCCCACAUGUGAUCCUAUUCUUUCGGUACACAAAGGCGAGAAACCCCGGGAUACAGAAAGCCCUCUGUCCUUGAGAUGAGGUAGAGGGUCUAAUUGAGCUGGUUAACACAAGCCUAUAGAUGGCACACUAAGAGAGCAUCCUGUAACACACGCCCACUGGGGCUUCAGCUGUAAACAUUCACCCCUAGACACUGUUGUAGGGUGGGAGCCCCACAGCCUGCCGUCUGUAUGCUCCUCUAGAGGUCUGAGCAGUGGGGCACUGGAGAGCCACACCCACAUCGCAUGCCCUGCCGGGGGACUACUGAACCUUUCCCGUUUCACUAGCAUAUACAAUAUAACCCUCUGGCCUAUCGCUUUAACACAUUUCCUCAGAGCGUUCAACAUCAUCUGUUAAAUACUUGUAUUAUAAUAUUUUAUCUCUUUAUUUCUUUUGCUUUAUAAAAUAAAUUGCUUAUCUUUUCGGUAAUCCCCUGUAUCCCUGAUGCUUCGAUCAAUGCCUAACAUAUAUUGAAUUAAUAUUAAUUGAUGAAAUAAAUGGAUAAACACACUCCUUCCUGAGUAUGAAUAUAUCUUAACUGUAUCACAUAACUUUUUUCACAUUCUUCCUUGCCUCAACGGUUUGCAUAUAUUUCACGUAGGUCACUUAUCACUAUCGGGAUUUAUGUAAUUUAAAAAUCUCCUCCAUUAAAUUGCAAAUUUCUUGGCAACUGGAUUUUCUUAUAUUCAUUUGUUAAAAUUUGCAUGCCUUUAAGACAUACAUAUACUAACUGCUCAAAUAAUAUUAUUUAAAUGAAUGGAUGUAAAUUAUACUAAGGGCAAGUUUAAGAAUUAUUAUUUCCUUUUUACCCAGAAGCUUAAAAACAUUUCAUUUUCUAAAAUUCUAUGAGAAGGCAUAUAUAUGAUUAUAGCACUGGCC